rnacentral:rRNA from 1 species
UACGAAGGGUGCAAGCGUUACUCGGAAUUACUGGGCGUAAAGCGUGCGUAGGUGGUUUGUUAAGUCUGAUGUGAAAGCCCUGGGCUCAACCUGGGAAUGGCAUUGGAUACUGGCGAGCUAGAGUGCGGUAGAGGAUGGCGGAAUUCCCGGUGUAGCAGUGAAAUGCGUAGAGAUCGGGAGGAACACCGGUGGCGAAGGCGGCAUCCUGGACCGGUAUUGACGCUGAGGCGCGAAAGCCAGGGGAGCAAACGGG